rnacentral:rRNA from 1 species
AUGGCAAGGAGCAUGAUGAAGGCCAAGGGCAUGCCGGACUACUUCUGGGGAGAGGCGGUAACCACGGCCGUCUAUCUCCUGAACCGGGCGUUCACGCGCAGCGUGGACGGGGCGACGCCGUACGAGGCCUGGCAUGGCAGGAAGCCAGAGGUGAGCCACUUGCGAGUCUUCGGGUGCGUGGCGCAUGUCAAGAGCGCGCGCCCCCUCCUCAAGAAGCUGGACGAUCGGAGUACUCCCAUGGUGCACAUCGGGUAUGAGCCUGGUUCCAAGGCAUACAGGGUGUACGACCCGGCGACGCACAGGGUGCACGUGUCCCGCGACGUUGUGUUUGACGAGAGCGCGAGCUGGGACUGGAGCAACGAGACGGCGGGCGCAGGCGGCUCCUUCGUCGUCGACUUCUCGGCAUACGGUGGACCUCUUGAAGAUGUGGUCACCCCGGCAAGAAUCUCUGCUCCGCCGUCACCCGAACCUGCCACCGGGGCGGCUGGAGAGAACACGCCUGCAUCGCCACACUCCGGUCCCGAUGUCGGGGCACCGCUUUCGCCAGCAGCAGGUGGCGCGUCAGCUGCCACCCCUGUCUGGCAUGAUGUGCAGUUCGCAACCCCGCCACCUCAUGACGCGGACAUGUUCGACGACGCAGACGAUCCCGACGCCGUGCACCGCUUUCGCCGCCUGGAUGAUGUGGUCAAUCUUGCCGCGGCGCAAGGCGGAAGGACAGAGCACCUCCUUCUACUACCCGAGGGAGAGCCGGCGACGUUCGCAGAAGCGGAGCCCCAUGCGGCGUGGCGGGCAGCGAUGACUGAAGAAAUGGCGUGCAUUGAGUCUAACGAGACCUGGUCUCUCUGCGAUCUGCCUGCAGGUCACCGACCCAUCGGCCUGAAGUGGGUUUUUAAGGAGAAAAGGAACGCCGCCGGCGAGGUGAUCAAACACAAGGCCCGUCUGGUAGCGAAGGGGUUUGUGCAGCGCGCCGGGAUCGACUUUGAAGAAAUCUUCGCCCCGGUGGCCCGUCUCGACUCUAUGCGUGUGUUGCUCGCCGCAGCCGCACAGGAAGGAUGGGAGGUGCACCAUCUGGAUGUCAAAUCGGCCUUCCUCAACGGUGAACUUGAGGAGGAGGUGUACGUGGUGCAGCCUCCCGGAUUCGAGCACGCCGGCGCGAGGAGCAAGGUGCUCCGACUGCACAAAGCGCUCUAUGGGCUGCGUCAGGCACCGAGGGCAUGGUACGCGAAGCUCGACAGCAGCCUCAAUGCUCUAGGCUUCGAGAGAUGCCCAUCCGAACAUGCAGUGUACACGCGGGCUGGUCAUGGUGGCCGGCUCCUGGUGGGCGUGUAUGUAGACGAUCUGAUUGUCACCGGAGCAUCCACGACAGCGAUCGCUGAGUUCAAGAAGGAGAUGAUGGCGCUCUUCAAAAUGAGCGAUCUGGGGCUACUGAGCUACUACCUCGGCAUCGAGGUAGACCAGAGGCCGGGCCAGAUCAUCAUCGCACAAUCCGCGUACGCCGGCAAGCUACUGGAGAAGGCCGGCAUGGCCGACUGUCACCCCGUGGCCACGCCGAUGCAGCAGCGCCUUAAGCUCAGGCGGGAGGGGGCCGGUGAGCCUGUGGACGCCACCUACUACAGGAGCGUGGUGGGGAGCCUCCGCUACCUCACCCACACGCGCCCGGACAUAACCUACGCCGUCGGGUAUGUCAGCAGAUUCAUGGAAGCUCCGACGAGCGAACAUUGGGCUGCUGUGAAGCAGCUCCUCAGGUACAUCGCCGGCACACGCCAGCUGGGAUGUCGCUAUGCACGGCAGGAGCACGGCGCAGAGCUCGUCGGCUACAGCGACUCGGACCUCGGGGGAGACUUGGACGACCGCAAGAGCACCAGCGGCACCAUCUUCUUCCUCGGUGGCAGCCCGGUAUCAUGGCAGUCAGCCAAGCAGAAGAUCGUCGCACUUUCUUCGUGCGAAGCAGAGUACGUCGCCGCGGCUGGUGCUGCCUGUCAGGGCAUCUGGCUCAGACGGCUGAUCGGGGAACUGCUUGGGCGUGACGACGGCGCCACCAGGCUCUGCAUCGACAACAAGUCAGCCAUCGCACUGAGCAAGAACCCUGUCUUCCAUGACAGGAGCAAGCACAUUGAGCUCCGCUACCACUUCAUUCGUCAGUGUGUUGAGGACGGCAGCAUCGACGUUCAGUAUGUCAGGACUGGCGAUCAACUUGCAGACUUUCUCACGAAGGCGCUCGGGCGAACUCAGUUCCAGGAGAUGCGUGAUCGUGUGGGGAUCGUCAAGUACAAGCCAACCUAG